rnacentral:tRNA from 1 species
GGGAAAAUAGCUAAUUUGGUAGAAGCUGGGGGCGGAAACCCCUGUAGGUCUUGGUUCGAUUCCAAGUUUUCCCC